rnacentral:rRNA from 1 species
GACGAACGCUGGCGGCGUGCCUAAUACAUGCAAGUAGAACGCUGAAGAGAGGAGCUUGCUCUUCUUGGAUGAGUUGCGCACGGGUGAGUAACGCGUAGGUAACCUGCCUGGUAGCGGGGGAUAACUAUUGGAAACGAUAGCUAAUACCGCAUAAAAUGGAUUAUCGCAUGAUAAUCCAUUGAAAGGUGCAAAUGCAUCACUACCAGAUGGACCUGCGUUGUAUUAGCUAGUUGGUGGGGUAACGGCUCACCAAGGCGACGAUACAUAGCCGACCUGAGAGGGUGAUCGGCCGCCCUGGGACUGAGACACGGCCCAGACUCCCACGGGAGGCAGCCGUAGGGAAUCUUCGGCAAUGGACGGAAGUCUGACCGAGCAACGCCGCGUGAGUGAAGAAGGUCUUCGGAUCGUAAAGCUCUGUUGUAAGAGAAGAACGAGUGUGAGAGUGGAAAGUUCACACUGUGACGGUAUCUUACCAGAAAGGGACGGCUAACUACGUG